GGGCGCGUAGCUCAGUUGGUCAGAGCGCACGGCUCACAUCCGUGAGGUCAGAGGUUCAAAUCCUCUCGCGCCCA
rnacentral:tRNA from 1 species